UGUGCCAGCGGCCGCGGUAACACCCGCAGCACGAGUAGUGGUCACUUUUAUUGAGCCUAAAGCGUUCGUAGCCGGUUUUGUAAAUCUUCAGAUAAAGCCUGAAGCUUAACUCCAGAAAGUCUGAAGAGACUGCAAGACUUGAGAUCGGGUGAGGUUAAACGUACUUUCAGGGUAGGGGUAAAAUCCUGUAAUCCCGGAAGGACGACCAGUGGCGAAAGCGUUUAACUAGAACGAAUCUGACGGUAAGGAACGAAGGCUAGGGUAGCAAACCGGAUUAGAUACCCGGGUAGUCCUAGCUGUAAACAUUGCCCAUUUGAUGUUGCUUUUCCGUUGAGGGAAGGCAGUGUCGGAGCGAAGGUGUUAAAUGGGCCGCUUGGGAAGUAUGGUCGCAAGACUGAAACUUAAAGGAAUUGGCGGGGGAGCACCGCAACGGGAGGAAUGUGCGGUUUAAUUGGAUUCAACGCCGGAAAACUCACCGGGAACGACCUGUGCAUGAGAGUCAACCUGACGAGCUUACUCGAUAGCAGGAGAGGUGGUGCAUGGCCGUCGUCAGCUCGUACCGUAGGGCGUUCACUUAAGUGUGAUAACGAGCGAGACCCACAUCUUUAAUUGCAAAUGUAUAUGAGAAUAUGCAUGCACUUUAGAGAAACCGCCAGCGCUAAGCUGGAGGAAGGAGUGGUCGACGGCAGGUCAGUACGCCCCGAAUUUCCCGGGCUACACGCGCAUUACAAAGAACGGGACAAUACGUUGCAACCUCGAAAGAGGAAGCUAAUCGCGAAACCCGUCCAUAGUUAGGAUUGAGGGCUGUAACUCGCCCUCAUGAAUCUGGAUUCCGUAGUAAUCGCGGGUCAACAACCCGCGGUGAACAUGCCCCUGCUCCUUGCACACACCGCCCGUCAAACCAUCCGAGUUGGUGUUGGAUGAGGUUUAAUUCGAGAGGGUUAAAUCAAAUCUGAUGUCGGUGAGGAGGGUUAAGUCGUAACAAGGUAACCA
rnacentral:rRNA from 1 species